rnacentral:tmRNA from 1 species
GGGGGCGACCUGGCUUCGACGUGGGUUGCGAAACCUGAAGUGCAUGCCGAGAAUGAGAUCUCUCGUAAAUAAGGCUCACUAAACAUAAAUGCAAACGAUGAAAACUUUGCUGGUGGUGCUAUCGCUGCCUAAUCCGCUUCGAUAGUGUUACCAUGUGCGCUGCCAUAAAACCAGCGUCCCGUUGACCGAGCCUGCUUGCCGGUAUCGACUCAGCGGUCAUAGAAGACAAGCUAGUGUCCUGGUCCAUCCCGAAUCAGGAUUGCGAAAUUUAGGGAAUCGCUGCCGACCAUCCUGCCUGUCGGAGGGGAAGCAGUUAAAUGAAUAGACAAGGCUACGCAUGUAGAGCUGACGGCAGAGGAUUUGCGGACGCGGGUUCGAUUCCCGCCGCCUCCACCA